GUGAGGAAUUUUCCGCAAUGGGCGAAAGCCUGACGGAGCAAUGCCGCGUGAAGGAUGAAGGUCUUAGGAUUGUAAAAUUCUUUCACCGGGGACGAUAAUGACGGUACCCGGAGAAGAAGCUCCGGCUAACUUCGUGCCAGCAGCCGCGGUAAUACGAAGGGGGCUAGCGUUGCUCGGAAUUACUGGGCGUAAAGGGCGCGUAGGCGGAUCGUUAAGUCAGGUGUGAAAUCCCAGAGCUCAACUCUGGAACUGCCCUUGAUACUGGCGAUCUUGAGUGUGAGAGAGGUAUGUGGAACUCCGAGUGUAGAGGUGAAAUUCGUAGAUAUUCGGAAGAACACCAGUGGCGAAGGCGACAUACUGGCUCAUUACUGACGCUGAGGCGCGAAAGCGUGGGGAGCAAACAGGAUUAGAAACCCUGGUAGUCC
rnacentral:rRNA from 1 species